rnacentral:lncRNA from 10 species
GAGAAAUGGCAGCAUACACAUCUAAGUAGAUUGAAAUUCAUAAACGGAAUAGGAGUAGUGGCAGGUUACUUACCAAAGCUUGGGACACAAAAUGCUAUUUGCCUAGUGGAAGUUUUGCCUGUGGCUUAAGGGUCUCAGAAAUCAUGGGGAUAGAAAAAUAACUUUUACCUUCAUGGCUUUUAGCAGACUAUGUGCUGAGUAUAGGUGCUCAAUAUAUAUCAAUGGGGUUAAUACAAAACACAAAUUAAUGUGAAACACAUCUUAGUACUUUUGAACAUAUUAUAAAAAAUGAUGGCCGGGCACGGUGGCUCAUGCCUGUAAUCCCAGCACUUUGGGAGGCCAAGGCGGGCGGAUCACAAGAUCAGGAGAUCAAGACCAUCCUGGCUAACACAGUGAAACCCCGCCUCUACUAAAAAUACAAAAAAUUAGCUGGACGUGGUGGCACGUGCCUGUAGUCCCAGCUACUCGGGAGGCUGAGGCAGCAGAAUGGCAUGAACCCGGGAGGCAGAGCUUGCAUGCAGUGAACCAAGAUGGUGCCACUGCACUCCAGCCUGGGUGACAGAGCAAGACUGUCUCAAAAAAAAAAAAAAAAAAAAAAAAAAAGAAAAGAAAAGAACAAGAGAAGGGCCUCUUUCUUAAUUACAUUGUAACAAAAAGAAUAAAGGAAAUCAAUUUGGUUAAAAUAAGUUCCAUUUGUACAGUUGCAUUUUUGUUUGAAUUAGUUAAAAGGAUGACAAUAAGUAGAUUUUGAUUUAAACUGUAUAAUUUAUGAAGCUGUGAAAUUACAAAAUGCUAAUGUCACACUCAUGACAUCCCCUUUUAAAAUAUGUUUGAAUCAAUAUUAUAAUAAACAACUCUAGGAAGUUAACCUUUUAAUCAUUUAUUAAUCACCCAUAUGUUAUCAAAUUGACUAUGCUGUGAAGUUGAUGCUUUCUUGAUUUUUAUCAGGAGUUAUAAAUUAAAGAUUUUCACACCUGGCUGACAGUGACUUAAGCCACUAUCAAUUGUAAGAUGCAUCCUAAUUUGAGAGAAGUGUUAAAAUAUAAAAAAUGUGUGCAUCUUAAAAUUGGUAAAACAUUUGUUGAGCAUCUAUUCUAUACCAAGCACCAUGAUAACUGCUGGGGAUACAGAAAUGAACACAAUGCAUCCCAUCAAUUCAGCAAGCUUGUAGCCUAGUAGGAGAAAAACAGAUAAACAAUUUUAUGGUAAAGAGUAAUGAUAUUAUAAGUUCUCAAGCUAACUUUCCAUUUGUUUGAAAUACACAGAGAAACCUACUGGUAAUAUUAUUACAUAAGGGGUAUGGAUUAUACCAUAGCUAUAAACUAGAAGUAGUUUUAUGAGCAUACAGUCCUUCAUUUCUCAAGGGCUUAUGAUAUCAAUUCCUCACAGCCACUUCAAUAUUUGUCUACUUUUGAGAUAUUAGAGUGGAAAAAAUAAUCAUUUUCCUCUUGAGUCUCAAGAUUCAGAAGUAACCUAAUACUUAACUCAAGCAUUUCUCCAAUAAAUAUUUUCUCAUCUUGUAGCUGAAAUAA